GAUGAACGCUGGCGGCGUGCCUAAUACAUGCAAGUCGAGCGAACGGACGAGAAGCUUGCUUCUCUGAUGUUAGCGGCGGACGGGUGAGUAACACGUGGAUCACCUACUUAUAUGACUCGGAUAACUUCGGGCAACCGGAGCUAAUACCGGAUAAUAUUUUUAACCGCAUGGUUCAAAAGUUAAAGACGGUCUUGCUGUCACUUAUAGAUGGAUCCGCGCUGCAUUAGCUAGUUGGUAAGGUCACGGCUUACCAAGGCAACGAUGCAUAGCCGACCUGAUAGGGUGAUAGGCCACACGGGAACGGAGACACGGUCCAGACGCCUAAGGGAGGCAGCAGUAGGGAAUAUGCGGCAAUGGGCGAAAGCCUGACGGAGCAAGGCCGCGUGAGUGAUGAAGGUCUUCGGAUCGUAAAACUCUGUUAUUAGGGAAGAACAUAUGUGUAAGUAAAUGUGGACAUCUUGACGGUACCUAAACAAAAAGCCACGGCUAACUACGUG
rnacentral:rRNA from 1 species